UACGUAGGGUGCGAGCGUUUGUCCGGAAUUAUUGGGCGUAAAGAGCGUGUAGGCGGCCAGGUAGGUCGGUUGUGAAAACUGGAGGCUCAACCUUCAGAGGUCGACCGAAACCAUCUGGCUAGAGUCCGGGAGAGGAGUGUGGAAUUCCGUGGUGUAGCGGUGAAAUGCGCAGGAUAUCAGGAGGAACAGCCGGUGGCGAAGGCGGGUCUCUGGGCCGAUACUGACGCUGAGGAGCGAAAGCGUGGGGAGCGAACAGG
rnacentral:rRNA from 1 species